UUUGUUUUCCUCACUCCUCGACUUAGCAAUCAUUCACGUGAAUAUGAACGAGUCUGACAAAACAAAUAUUCCAAAUAAGCAUAUGGACACUUGAAGCAAGAAAAGACAUAACAAACAAGAUAAAUAAAUACCAAAGGCAUACAUGAAAGAACUCAUUUACAGCAUAGUAGUCACAAAAAAACAAAUGCCUAACAAAACCGAUUUCAGACCCAUUAAUGGGCCAUUUGACUUGUUACGGAGUCGACCGAUCAAUUAAAACGAGAUUAGUUCGAAAUUAGCAAAACUAACAUUCUCCCAAGUUAACCUUCUUCUUUUUUACUGGACGAGCUAUGAAAUUUUCAGUGAUAUGAUUCAUGGUCGCACUGAAAUAACAGUUCAUCCUAUUCAUUGUAACAUUAAAGCACCUAACCAAAUAAUGAGACUAAAACAGCAAACGAGAAGAAACCAACAUACAUGUUAUACCAAAUUAAUCGAUAUCCUUCACCAAACUAGAAUAAUGAGAUGAAACAACAUGAAGGUUUGAGGAAUGCGCCUCUACUGCAGCACACUUUUUGAAAGAAUGAUUAAGAAAAGAGCACCCAACAAGCUUUUACGAGUAAAUGAACCAGUGGCCGGAACCUCAAUUGGAAUUGACUGACGGGCGGAAAACUGAUCUAGCCGACUAGCUAGUUGCACAUGGAAACGGAAAAAAAACAAACGCCAGCAGUCCCGUCGGAGUCUGGUCGGACUGACCACCAGAGACGAGCUCAGGCUCGGACGAACUUGUUAUUCAGGUGUUAUUUCGGUAAGAUUUUUGGACCUUCUUCGGCUAAUUUCAGCAAGUUUAUGGCUGAAUUUCGUUGGGGUUUAGGGCUGGUUGUCGCUUGGUUGUUGUAGUGAGUUUCAGGGGUGGUUGGUUUGUGAAGACGAAGAGGAAUGGCGAUAGGUGUUUUGCUGAAGAAGAAAGAGGAAUCGACGGGAUCUUUUUUUUUCUGUUCAGCUGCAGCAUUUUUUUUGUUUUUGUCUAAGUUUUUUAGGUCCUCCCAAUCAGAGAAAACGGAUGUCCUUUUUUGGUCCUUAGCUUUCAGCAGCUUAGGGCUUAUUCAUGGAAGUAGCUGCCUUUUUUUUGUUUUUUAUCAAGAAGAAGCUUAGGUCUCUAUGACGAAGAAGGACCAGAUCCGGGAGG
rnacentral:lncRNA from 1 species